rnacentral:rRNA from 1 species
GACGAACGCUGGCGGCGUGCUUAACACAUGCAAGUCGAACGGAAAGGCCCUGCUUUUGUGGGGUGCUCGAGUGGCGAACGGGUGAGUAACACGUGAGUAACCUGCCCUUGACUUUGGGAUAACUUCAGGAAACUGGGGCUAAUACCGGAUAGGAGCUCCUGCUGCAUGGUGGGGGUUGGAAAGUUUCGGCGGUUGGGGAUGGACUCGCGGCUUAUCAGCUUGUUGGUGGGGUAGUGGCUUACCAAGGCUUUGACGGGUAGCCGGCCUGAGAGGGUGACCGGCCACAAUGGGACUGAGAAACGGCCCGGAGUGCUACGGGAGGCAGGAGUGGGGAAUAGUGCAAAAAGGGCGGAAGCCGUAUACAGCAACGCCGCGUGCGAGAUGACGGCCGUCGGGUUGUAAACCGCUUGCGCCUGUGACGAAGCGUGAGUGACGGUAAUGGGUAAAGAAGCACCGGCUAACUACGUG